rnacentral:rRNA from 1 species
UACGAAGGGGGCUAGCGUUGCUCGGAAUCACUGGGCGUAAAGGGUGCGUAGGCGGGUCUUUAAGUCAGGGGUGAAAUCCUGGAGCUCAACUCCAGAACUGCCUUUGAUACUGAGGAUCUUGAGUUCGGGAGAGGUGAGUGGAACUGCGAGUGUAGAGGUGAAAUUCGUAGAUAUUCGCAAGAACACCAGUGGCGAAGGCGGCUCACUGGCCCGAUACUGACGCUGAGGCACGAAAGCGUGGGGAGCAAACAGGAUUAGAUAACCCUGAGUC